UUUGCACCCUCCCAAAAGAAAACGCCACAUAUAAUAUUAAAUGAAGUUAACUGUUCACAUAAAACAGUAACGUGAGCUCUUUAAAUUAGCUGGAUACCAGUGUAUCGCCAUGUCUUUUUUGUCCACAGCAAUUCCGCCAAUCAGUUGCAAAACGUCCCAGUUAGAGACUCAGUGCUGUAAACUCAU